AUGGCCCCAGAGGCAAGCCCAGAGAGAAGCUGCUCCCUUCACACCUGUCCCCUUGAGGACCCUACGGGCACUGUGCCUGCACCAACAGUCUCUACUCUCCAGACUGUAGAUCCAACCAGUCCUUUAGCGGCUGGCCAUUUUGCCUUUCCUCGAGCUCCGCAAGAAUAUCAAGAAGGAAGCUCUCUACUAGGACCGGGAGACCAAGCAGCUCUAUGUGCCCAUGUCUCCAACGUCAGCACUUCUAUAGACCCCUCACAGCAUGAUGGGGUCUGGAAGCCACCUUCUGUGCAGCGCCAUGUGGUCAGUGUCAGGCAGGAGCGUACUUUCCGGAUGCCAAAGAGCUAUUCCCAGCUGAUUGCUGAGUGGCCAGGGGCUGUGCUGCUGUUGUGUGUGGCUUUCAUCCUCCUCUGCACCCUGGCUGGGAUGUUGGGAAGCCCGACGCCUGACUUUUCUGAACCUUUACUGGUGAGAGGCCAUGGGGAGGGAGAAAGCCCCCUGGCCUGGAUGGUGCAGCUCAGUCUGAGGCAGACAGUUGACCCAGCUGGGGUGGGGGGUGGGUAGGGUAGCU
rnacentral:lncRNA from 1 species